UGUUAUGUUUACAUAUGUUUGAAGAAAAGGGUUUUGCUCGAACGAUUUCAGAAUGUUCUUUCUAAUCGUUUCAAUAGGUAUAAUAGCUUAUAUUUGUUGAUAGUGAGUUUUAUUUUGGCUGCAAGUUGUGUGAUUAACUUAUUGUGGUUCUGAAUGUUGGUUCAAAACAGACCGCUCCUUUGAUUCCGUUCACACACGACCCCUACGCAGUCAGAAACUGAACCGAGGCUGCUGGAUGCUUGUAGAUCAACCAAAUUUGCUGGAACAGCAACUCCGUAUCACUAACGGCAUUCGUGAAAACGUUCAAUUGUGUUUUUGCGCGACAAAAAUAACCGUAUGAUUCUUUUACUUGCUUGAAAUCCGUGUGAAAAUCAACCCACUGUCGCUGCUUUAUUUACGUCAUCUGUAAAAGAAUCUCGACGCAUUGCACCGCUAGUGCUGCUACUUCGUUGGUUUUCUCCGCCAGUCAGCUUCAGCAACGAGAUCAAUGCCGUUGGAGACAGCAGUUGUCUCAAUGUGGCAGGCAAAAUGCACUACCUGUUGGUGAACUACUAUCACAAUUUUUCCGAUAGAUAUUUGAUGUCAUAUCUGAGAACUCCUAAGUUCAAUAACCUCUCGAAGAAUUUUCACAUUGUUUCUAGUCGAAUAUAAGGUCAUUUGAGAAUCGAGGACUUGAUUAACAGCGAAGAGCAGCUUUUUGAUGCGAUUCCGUUUGCAUUCCUCGUACCAGUCCCUAUGCCAACAGUAACCGUUUCUCGACAACAAAAAACGAAGUACAUGGUAGUUAAAUCCAGAAUUGAUGCGACAAACCAUAAUUCUGCACUCGGAUUGCAACUUAUGAUAGGCAAAGCUCGAUAGACGAAGUCGAAUCGAUUGGCUAAAGAUAAAGCUGAAGUAUUUUCAGAAGUGCAUAACUGAGGAAAGAAUGCGGUAGAUGUGUGAGUUGCAGUAUGAGGAAAACAUAACAGCACAGCCAUGAAGGAUUUGAAGGUGCGUUAGGAUCGUCUGGAUGCCAUUUAUUAGUUAGCGAUGAUCGAGAGGGUUUCGUGUAGCAGUGAGAACGCAUGUUCAUUCCAGCAGGCAUAGCUUCCCAGUAAAGUUCAGCCGGAAAUGAGCUGGAGUUCCAGCUGGUUCCAGUUAGUAUUCCGGCUCCAGUGACUAGUUAGUUCUAGUUAGAAUCGGGUUGGUUGUGUCACUGGAGCCGGAAUACUAACUGGAACUUGCCGGAAUUCCGGCUCAUUUGCGGCUGAACUUUACUGGGUUAACAAGACAGCAGGUGAGAGAAAUAACGCCGUUUUCAAUUUAGUAAACGUAAAGGUUCUUCCAAAUUUUAGGAAGUAAUUGGCAGAUGAGGCGAUAUCAUUCCUAAGCAACAAAAUGUUACAUUAUACCGGAUUCUUUCUCCAGGACAAAACGGACAUUAUGUGCAACUGCUGUUACAGGCACACCUUUUGGAGCUUAUCAUAAAAAUAAAACACAUCUCCGAAUGUACGUACUCGAUCUCAACCGAGGGUCACUCGAUUAUAAAACGUCGCUAUUAUAUAUGAGUGUUUUUUUA